rnacentral:tRNA from 1 species
UGGGGGAUCGUCUAGUGGUAGGACACCUGACUCUGGCUCAGGUAGCGGGGGUUCGAAUCCUCCUCCCCCAGCCA